CACAGCCGCCCUGUCGUCCUCCCUGCCCUUCGACAGACCCACUCGUCAGGCCACAACCCCCAUAUAAAGCCGCAGUAAUCUGCCCAAGAGAAAGCCUCAAGCAUGCGCCGUCUGUCUAGCCAGCUUAUGUGCACCGCUGCCGCGGCCCGCUUCGCGUCCGCCGGCGGCGCGAAGAAGUACGACCUGUUCGGCUACGAGGUGGACACGAACACGGCGCUGUGGAUCGACAAGGUGAAGAAGUGCCGCUACUACGACGAGGCCGGCGAGGUGCUGGUGAACAUGAACGUGAAGAACUGCCCGCCGGAUCUGGAGACGUACAACGCGACGCUGCAGAAGAUCUACGAAGCGCCGAGCAAGCAGGACAAGCCAGUGGAGAACGAGAGCAAGUUCUGCGCGAUGAUGGACCUGAUGGAGGAGAUGCAGCACCGCAACAAGGUGAAGCCGAACGAGGAGUCGUGGACGUGGGUGUUGAAGGAGUGCGUGCAGAGCGGGCAGUUCCGCCUCGGCUACUGCGUUGCGAAGCUGAUGGAGGCUGAGUUCAAGCGGGUGCCGGCGGAGCUUGUGCAGCAGAACGAGGCAAACGCUUCGAAGGCGAAGGCGGACGGCAAGGAGCACCCGAGCACGCUGGCGCAGCAGCAGAGCCUGUUCGAUAUCAAGAUCCAGUAAAAUGUAGUGACUUCGGACUGAUCACGGUGAAUUGAUAAGCAGCAGAUGAGGGACAGUUGGCGCCAUGUGGGUACAUGAGUACGCUGAUGUUUGGGUUUGUGUGGGUGUGGGUGUGUUUGCGUAUAUGUGCGUAUCGUCUUCAUCCUUCUGUCCUCUUUUCUCUACGUCGCGCACACAUGUCCACCCGCUGCCCUCUCCAUACUGCCUAGCUGUGGAGCCCUUUAUGCGGUGAACCUUGUAGACGAUGACAGCCCCCAUUUCCUUCCCCGCGUUGCGUGUUCAUAUAUAUCCAUCUCCUCCUAACCUCCUCUCGCCGCGCCGUUUUUGAGUUGUGUGUGAUCUGGGAGACGAGGCAAUGGAGAGGCGGAAGCGACGGGGUGCUGGGGGAGGAAAGCGCGCGCACACACGCGUGUGAACACUACAAGUCGCUCGUCUCUCCGUCUGCGUGGAUGAAGCGCGUGCAGGAAGUGCACGUGACCUUUGUUUUGUGUGUAGGAAGGCACGCGCCACCUCGCAUCGAUGACGACGGCGCCGGGCGCACCGAAGCGAAAGGGAAAGGGAGGCCAUGGCAGCGGAGGGAUAGCAAGUGAGGAGAGCAAUGAAUGGAGCGGGUGGGGGACGCUAGUGUCUCUGUCUGAAAGUUCGUGUAGAAAGCGUAACGGGGGCGGGUAGCAGGGCCAACGGCUUCGGGAGGUGCGUCUCUGCUACUCCCUCACCACUUACGCCCCCCCCCCACUCCCUACGCACACACUCUCGCUCACCCCAUCGCUCUUGCACACGCACACACACCACGCUGCCAUUCUCUCCUUUUCUUUUGUUAGUCCCCUAUUGUUUUGUUCUGUAGGCAUAAUGAAGGGAGUGUU
rnacentral:misc_RNA from 1 species